rnacentral:rRNA from 1 species
AAAGCUUGAUCCAGCAAUUUCGCAUGUAUGAAGAAGACCACUAAACGUUGUAAAGUACUAAGCUCGGGGAUAAUAAUGACGGUACCCGAGUAAAAAGCCCUGACUAACUUCGUGCCAGCAGUCGCGGUAAAACGGAGAGGGCAAGUGUUAUUCGUAUUGACUGGGUGUAAAGGGUACGUAGGCGGUUAUUUAAGUUAUAAAAAAAGCUAUAUCUUUUUAUAAUACUAUAUGACUAGAGUUAAAAAGGGGAUGGCGGUACCUCCAGUUUAGAAGUGACAUUCGUUUGAGAUUGGGGGGACCAACAAUAGGCGACGGCUGCUUUCCAUUUUUAUACUGACGCUGAGGUACGAAAGCAUGGGGAGCGAACAGGAUUAGAGACCCUGGUAGUCCAUGCCCUGACCUAUGAAUAUUAAUCGUCCAUUUAGAUAGUGGAUGACUAAGCUAACGCGAAAAUAUUCCACCUGAGGACUACGGCCGCAAGGUUAAAACUCAAAGAAAUUGGCGGAAGAUCGUUUAAGCGGUGGAGUAUGUGGUUUAAUUCGAUAAUACGCGAAAAACCUUCCAAUCUUUGUGCACAUUUUCGGUUCUACAAAACUUGUAGCCCAAAUUGAGGUGGUCAAUUUGGGCUAGCUAUGUGCCAGGCGUUGCAUGGCUGUCGUAAGCUCGUGUCUUAGGAUGUGUGGUUAACUCCAUGAACGGGCGCAACCCUUGUUCCUAGUUAGAUUAGGAAUGAAAACAGUGAAAACUGCUUUUGAGGAUGAGGAGUAUGUCAAGUCAAUAUGACCUUUAUAGAUUGGGCUACACACGUACUACAACGGUAGUUACAAUGAGAAACAAUGCCGUGAGGCGGAGUAAAUCUCUAAAACCUACCCUAGUUCGGAUUAUUUUUUGAAAUAAAAAUAUGAAGCCGGAAUCGCUAGUAAUCGCAAAAAAGAAUGUUGCGGUGAAUAUUAAGACCGAUCUUAGUACACACCGCCCGUCACGCCAUGGAAGCUUGUUUGGUUUGAAGAUAUUAAGUCACAUGUUUCGAAGUGAUUAUUCCUUAAUAAGUUCAUGUUAUAUGUGUUACUGGUAUCGACAAUUAUAUAGGUAACUGGGGUGAAGUC